CGCCGGUAGUGCCGCUGCUCCCCCGCCCAGCAGCGCCAUCCUCAUAUGACCUCAGCACCAGAGACAGUGGCGACUCGAAAAAAUGGGGAGAUGAGGAGGCCAGGACCUUGGCGCAGACCCGUGCUCCCAGCACCGGACCCCUCCUCGUCGUAGGGCCAGCCCUCCCGCCGGUGCCACGCCAUGCCGUGGUGUUGCCGGCUUGGUGGCCCGUGUUCGGGCAGCCGCCGUGGCGUCGUCAGUGGCGGAUGCGGUGGCAGGGGACCGUCACGGCUUCCGGCCAUGGGUUCCGGCGAUGCCAAGCUGUAGAUCUGAGUCGCCGUCUCCAUUUCAUUUCGUCCAUGUUUUGAUCUAGUACCUCCACUCCUCACCACCUCUCCCCCUCUCAUCCACCCGCCCAGCUCCUCCACUUUAAGAUGCAGGUUGAAAUCCAUCAGGUGCUUUGACUUCUAGGGAGCGUUCAUGUGUUGCACUGAUGCCUAUGGUCUGUUAAACAUCAUGAUAUUCCUGUCUAAUGGAAUAAACAGGAUAGUAUUCUUGAACAAAUGCUAUAUGCAGAAUCAUUGUAUGCCUCAUAUGCUUCGCCUUUACUGCUUAAUCUCUCACAAGUGGCCUCUGCUGCUCAUACUUUCGCCUACUUAAUGCAUGCAUAAGUCUACAAUUCUUUGUGUAUAUAGUGAAAUGGGUGUAUGACAGGUUCUUUGUUUUCAAUUUUGUAGCUUAGGCACUGGGAUCUUCUUUGAAGUAAUUGAAGCUACCCUAAUUGACAAACUAAAUUCAGUGGGUUAUACUGAGAAUCGAUACUCUGCUCAGUUGUAUUUUUACUGAAACAUGGCAUGUUGUUUUUGUUACUCGUACCAAAGUUCAGGACCUUUAUGAGUUGGUUGAUGAUCCAUGUAGUUUUGACUUACCAUGAUCUGAAUAUGUAUGUCAGUAUACAUGAUUAAGUAAUGGCUAAAUGACUGGGAUGUGUAUGUCAUCUUUAAUUGAAUUUAGAUGCUUAUUCAAUCUGAAUUGAAAUGUUUUAUCAUUCGCCAGGUCUUUGCUUGUAAUUUCUUGUGCUGUAAACUGUAAUUAAUCAUCUUUAUCUAUUGUCUAUUAUCCUACAACUGGGCUCAUGCACUUGGAAUUCUUUGCCACCUGAUAAUUAGUGAAGGUAGUAUAUCUCUGGAUCGUAAUUGGAGUGCCAACGCUUCUAAUAGCUUGCUGAGGAUUAAUGCUUAAUUAUCAUUUAUUUAACUUUAUGCUAACACAUUAGAUUAUCUGGUGAAGCACAUGUUUCAUCUUGCAUUCCCUACCUGUACAGACUGUAGACGGACAAUACAUUAGCUCUAAUCUCAGACACUGGUUAAUUAACUAUAUUACUAAUCAAAUAGCCUGCUGUUUACUAGGAGCUGCUAAUACUACUGGCUUACUCUUUGGAACCUUCGGUUGAUCUAUACAUGUGUAGCUAGCUGCUUUUCUCCAUGGCGCAUUUCGUGUAGAUACGUAGAGAUGUUGAUUAGUAAAUGCAUGCAAACUGAAUUCUGUAUUAGUUUCCCAGCGAGUAGCAUCACUGAAACGACGGUUCUUCUCUAUGCGAGUUAAACGGAUUGCUUGGGUGAGAUUUUGUUAGGAUAAUCUCAGAGGUUGCUAGCAAUCAGUAGAGUUACUCAUAGUACUAAUACAUGUGCAAGUUUGCUUUAAUUAAUUUUGGUGCUUCUCCUGAUUGAAGAUGGCCGUGACCAAUUUCAAAACUGCAAAACCCCAUUAAACAUUGUUGGUAUGAAUUGGGCUUGGAAAAUACUCGAUCCAGCAACUCCUUUGUUCUACAUUUUGGUUCAGCCUUACACACUUCACCGGGUAUAGGAAUUUAUUUAGAUGUAUGUAGAUACAUAGGCGUACAGGGACCCACUGUAUUCCUUUUCUUUUUGUAACCUCACAUUGAAAUAUCUAACUUUUUGUAUAAUGGGUCUUUUCAGAGAAUUGCCACCGCACCUAAAAAACAAGAGUUUCAAUUGUAUAAAGAAAUCCAUGUAUGUGUGACAGAACCUUUACACGAGGAGGGCAACAGCGUCGACAUGGCGAUCGAGUCACUCCUGAAUGCGGAGAAGCAGUGUUGCCUGGCUGGCGAUGUGGCCAGCACUAGGAAGGACAUCGUCGAGCUCUCCUUCAAGGAUGGCGCCUGGAAGACGCUUAACUACCAGAUCGUUCUCCUCUCUAAGAGGAGGAGGGGCCAGCUCAAAGAAUGGCGUCACCGGCGAGGAUGGCAGUGGCGUGCCCAUGUUCGCGGAGUACAACCUCGACGAGCUAUGCGCCUCCAUCGAUGGCUUCACAAUGGACCACACCAUCUUUGAGCACUGUGAGAAGGAGCCUAAUGCCGUCUACCACGGACCCUCUUCAGCUCUGGCACCACCAUCGCCAUCAAGCGCUUCGACCGCUCCGCCUGGCCUGACGCACGCCAGUUCGUGGUUCGUGCCCCUUGCUUUGGUUUGCUUUGCUUCGCGGGGGUGGAUCGUCACCUCGUAAGCACCAUCGUUCGACUGGCCUCUGCUGCGGAGUCUGAAUUGAAUUUGUUGAAUAAUUAGGCAUUUUUCCGUUUAGUUUAAUCCAGAAAAAUAAUGGAUAAAACAU